AUGCUGGAAUUAACUUGCUAUGCGCGUACUUACAAUCUCUCAUAUUGUUCUUGCUCACGAGUUUAUUCCAAAGCCACUUGUAUGCAUCUCUACAAUAUGUGGUUGUCACUAAUGCUGUUCACCAAGUAUUUUGAACAUCCUACCUUCCGGCCAUUGAUUGGGAUUGCAUUUCUUGGUCCUGUUUGGUUGGGUGAGGCCAUAGGACUAGUUCUGGCUGGUGAAAUUUUUUCUGGAAAUUUUCUUCCUUGCCUCAGGAAGCUGUUCACAGGAUGUGUGGACCAGUGCUUCGCUGACUCAGCAGGGCCCACUGCCAUCUCCAGAGCGCCUCACCUUAAUACUCCAUGCUGCCCUAGAGUUGCAACAAAGCACCCUGGACUGGAGCUGUGUCCACAGCCAAUCAGCUGGCAACCCCAGUGAGUCUCACAGAGGUGGAGGGCAGGGGAGCCAGCGUUCACCCUGUUUCCUGUGGUCUCCACUGGUCCAUUUGUUGCAUAAAAGAUGGACUAAGCUGAAACCUUGGCCUAGACACUCGCAAGGUAUGUGACUUGAAGGCAUUUAAUCUCAUGUAGAGGAUGAGUGCUGGGGUUCACAGCACCCACACCUCGUAGCAAUGUCCUACCCAGUAAAUAGAUGAACACGGAUUAUAUACUCAACCCAGAGCCUCUAACAUGAUGAAGUGCGAAUGGGUAGCUUCCAUCAUGGAGUGAUAAAGAAUAAGGAAGAUCUCUAUGAAUGGAUGGGGAGUGAUUUCCAGUGGGGCUCAAACCAACAACCCCAAGAUCAAGUCACAUGCUCUACUGAGCCAGCUAAACACCCUACUACUUAGUGUCAGAAAAGUUUGGGCACCUGGCUGCUUGGUCAGUGGGACAUGAAACUCUUGAUUUCAGGGUUGUGAAUUCAAGUCCCACACUGAGCGUAGAGAUUACUUAAAAACAGAAUCUUGGGGAUCCCUGGGUGGCUCAGCGGUUUGGCGCCUGCCUUUGGCCCGGGGUGUGAUCCUGGAGUCCCGGGAUCGAGUCCCACAUCAGGCUCCCUGCAUGGAGCAUGCUUCUCCCUCUGCCUGUGUCUCUGCCUCUCUCUGUGUCUCUCAUGAAUAAAUAAAUAAAUCUUUCAAAAAAAAAAUAAAAA
rnacentral:lncRNA from 1 species